rnacentral:lncRNA from 1 species
AUGGCCUCCAUGCGCAUCAUGACCCGCGUGGACCACCAGAUCUUCCCCUCGCUGGCCACCGGGGACUUCGUCCACUGUCUCCAUUCCGUCGGCCGGCCUCUGCCGCUGCGAGGUGAGCCCAAAAACCCACAAAAUGCCCCCAGAAUACCCCAAAACAGAAAAAAACACCCAAGAAACGCCAAAGAAACGUGCAAAACUGCCCAAGAAACGUGCAAAAACAUGCAAAAACGCCCAAGCAAUGCCCAAAAACGCCCAAAAACACCCAAGAAAUGCCCAAAAACGCGCAGACGCCCCAAAAAUAGCCAUAAAUGCUCAAAAACGCCCAAGAAACGCCCCAAAACACCCAUGAAACGCCCAAUAAACAUGCAAAAACGCCCCAAAAUGUGCAGAAACGCCCAAGAAAUGCCCAAAAACACCCAAGAAAAGCACAAAAACGUCCAAGAAACGUGCAAAAAAGCCCAAGAAAUGCCAAAAAACACCCCAAAACACCAAAACACAUGCAAAAACGCACCCAAAAAUACGCAAAAAAGCCCAAGAAACGCCCAAAAACAUGAAAAACGCUCAAGAAAUGCCCCAAAACAUGCAAAAAUGCUCAGGAAACGCCCCAAAAUGCACAAAAAGACCCAAGAAACGCCCAAAAACAUGCAAAAACACCCAAGAAAAUCCCCAAAACACGCAAAAAAUCGCAAAAAUGCCCAAAACCACGCAAAACACCCAAGAAACGCCCAAGAAACACCCAAAACCACACAAAAGCGCUCAAGAAAUGCCCCAAAACACGCAAAAUCGCCCAAAAAAUGCCCAAGAAAUGCCCAAGACGAUGCAAAAACACCCAAGAAAUACCCAAAGCAAGCAAGUAGCUUGCCAAAAAAAGCCAAAAAAAAGCCAAAAAAAACCCAAAACCCCCCAAAACCCUUAAAUUCACCCCAAAAAAUGUUAUUUUUUUUCACUGAGCCCCUGGUGAACGGGUGGCCUGCGACCCCGAGGGCACCCUGGAGGCCCACGUCUCCGCCAAGCACCGCAUCGCGUCCUUCGGAAGCGGCUACAGGGGCAACUCGC